UACGGAGGGUGCAAGCGUUAUCCGGAUUCACUGGGUUUAAAGGGUGCGUAGGUGGGCAGGUAAGUCAGUGGUGAAAUCUCCGGGCUUAACCCGGAAACUGCCAUUGAUACUAUCUGUCUUGAAUACCGUGGAGGUGAGCGGAAUAUGUCAUGUAGCGGUGAAAUGCUUAGAUAUGACAUAGAACACCAAUUGCGAAGGCAGCUCACUACGCGUAUAUUGACACUGAGGCACGAAAGCGUGGGGAUCAAACAGG
rnacentral:rRNA from 1 species